rnacentral:rRNA from 1 species
AGAGGGUGCGAGCGUUAAUCGGAUUUACUGGGCGUAAAGCGUGCGUAGGUGGCUUUUUAAGUCAAAUGUGAAAUCCCCGAGCUUAACUUGGGAAUUGCAUUCGAUACUGGAAGGCUAGAGUAUGGGAGAGGAUGGUAGAAUUCCAGGUGUAGCGGUGAAAUGCGUAGAGAUCUGGAGGAAUACCGAUGGCGAAGGCAGCCAUCUGGCCUAAUACUGACACUGAGGUACGAAAGCAUGGGGAGCAAAC